UGCGUAGGCGGUUUUAUAAGUCAGUGGUGAAAUACAACAGCUUAACUGUUGAGGUGCCAUUGAUACUGUAAGACUUGAGAACAGACGAGGUAGGCGGAAUUGACGGUGUAGCGGUGAAAUGCUUAGAUAUCGUCAAGAACACCGAUAGCGAAGGCAGCUUACUAGACUGUAACUGACGCUGAGGCACGAAAGCGUGGGGAUCAAACAGGAUUAGAUACCCUGGUAGUCC
rnacentral:rRNA from 1 species